rnacentral:SRP_RNA from 1 species
GCCGGGCAUGAUGGCUCAUGCCUGUAAUCCCGGCAUUUUGGGAGGCUGAGGCGGGUGGAUCACUUGAGGUCAGGAGUUCAAGACCAGCCUGGCCAACAUGGUGAAACCCCGUCUCUA